rnacentral:rRNA from 1 species
UACGUAGGGGGCAGGCGUUGUCCGGAUUUAUUGGGCGUAAAGAGCGUGUAGGCGGCCAUGUAGGUCCGUUGUGAAAACUCGAGGCUCAACCUCGAGACGCCGAUGGAAACCAUGUGGCUAGAGUCCGGAAGAGGAGAGUGGAAUUCCUGGUGUAGCGGUGAAAUGCGCAGAUAUCAGGAAGAACACCGGUGGCGAAGGCGGCUCGCUGGGCCAGUUCUGACACUCAUCCGCGAAAGCGUGGGGAGCAAACAGG